GGGAGCUCGUACCACCCGACUGCCCGAAGGCAGGAGCUGCAGAAGCAGGUUCUGUGCACCGUGCAAAACCGGAAUAGAACGGCCUCGAAGGUUCAGUUCAACAACUUGACAGGUCCACCGGCCUGGUCCAGGCUUCCAGGUGAAUAAGUGAGGCCACGGCCGUUGGAGGUCGCACCUCCCAGCCUGGUGGAGACCUCCACUUCAGUCACAUAGCCUGUGACUGAAGCCCGUUCGGAGACGGACACUCAGGGCCAGAGACACUUUUCCUGAAGUAAAUACCUUCCCAGGACAGGAAGGCUUCACCACCACAGAUGCACGGUGGUGGAGGAAAAGCCAGGGAAAGGAGGGACAGUGACAUUCAUCUCGAUGGGAGAGUUCAUGAAGAAUGCUGUCAAGCACACUGCAAAACUCAUUCUGUCCCUUAUUCUCAAGAUGCGACAGGUCACUCACUGGUCCAGAUCCCUCAGAGAAGCACAGCCUUUUACAGUAUCUACCUGGGGCUUAGAUGAUGAGCAGAUACUUGUGCUCAUGGAUCCGUUAUUUCCUUCUCUCUGAUACAAGGUCAAGCAACAAAGCCCAUGCCCGCCUUAGACAAUCCCGUGGCCUCUCUCCCUCAGCUUCCUGGGUUCUGCAGUUGCAGGUGUGAACUGUCACGCAGGCUCCAUUUACCCCUGAGGAAAGCAGAUGGAGCGGAAGGGCCUCAGAGAGACCAAGACCUUGAGGUCCCAUUCCAGAGCUUCAGGGACCGCUAUGCCUGCUUGUGGAGGCUUCGAGAGGCUGCCAGAAAGAGGAAGUACACAUGGCUGGUUGGUCCUGAGGUUGUUCCUGGAAGCUUACUGAAUGUCAUCAAGACACGUAGGCAUGUGCUUGAUUGGUACCUGGUUGUAUUUGUUUGUGCUGGAGGGCUGAACGUAAAGGGAACCUAAAGCUUCCUUGCUGAGUGCCAGGAAGACUGGUGCUGGGCACGUGGCAUGCUCAUGGCCACUCCUGCUGAACUCAGCACACCGUCCCCCCACCUCCCGCACCCCUUCCUGCAUCUGUGCUCCGUGUUAGUGAGCAUCGUUCUCUGGCAACCACCUUUUAGAUGGUGAGACUAUUAAGUGACUUUUCUGAGCCAAGAACGGCUCCGCCGGCCCAGGGCCUCUUCUCGGGAGGGGAUUAGACAGGGAUUCCAGCAGUGUUCCCAGG
rnacentral:lncRNA from 1 species